rnacentral:rRNA from 1 species
UACGUAGGUGGCGAGCGUUGUCCGGAAUUACUGGGUGUAAAGCGCGUGUAGGCGGGAGGCCAAGUCUGUGGUGAAAUCGCCUGGCUUAACUGGGCGGGGUCCAUGGAACUGGUCACCUGGAGGUCGGUAGAGGCAAGUGGAAUUCCCGGUGUAGUGGUGAAAUGCGUAGAGAUCGGGAGGAACACCAGUGGCGAAGGCGGCUUGCUGGGCCGGACCUGACGCUGAUGCGCGAAAGCGUGGGGAGCAAACGGG